GAUGGGGUCUCAUGUAAUGGAGCUCAGGUGCUCCUAAUGUUAACAAGCUGUGAAAAUGGGCCCUAUUUAUUAUUGGGACCAAAUAAAGUACUACUGACCUCUGACAAGGUCUAAACAUUUAACACUAGUCGCCAAAUUACCAAUUACACUUUUAUAUAUAUAAAAUGGACACACAUGAUUUAUUUGCGUAAAAAAUUGCACCAAUUCAUUCCAUAUUCAGAUUUAUGAUGUUAAACUAGCCUGUUCGAGUUAUGAAAAUGCUUCAGAUCACAGACUAUCUCCAACUAGACAAGGUGUUUGCGGUAAGUUCCAUAAGCAUGUGUGGGUGACAACUAUCUGAACGAGUGAGACAAUUUGAAAUAAUAACCAGAUCUGCAAAACACAACUUUCAGCACAAACAUUUCCAUGAGUUUAAACAAAACAUUUAAUAACUUGCAUGGAUCUGUGAAAAUCAGGUAGAAUUUUACAUCUAAACACUCGAACAUUUGAUGAGCUCAGACUACUGAUUUUCAGCAAAGAACAACAAUUUUAGAAGCUCAAUCAACCUUCAGAAUUCCAGAAAUAGUGUGAUAAACUAAUGAAGAAUGAAGAUUUUGGGAACUACAGAUAUGAGCUGAAAACUUUUUGUAUUGCAGAAAACUUCUCUCAGCUUUUUUUUGUAUGUUCGUGAAUGAGUGUGUAUUUUCAGAGGUGCAUGAAUGAGAAAAGUGUGAGUGAGCAACCCCUUACAUAGAACAGAUUGUGUUCAGAGCCUCUUUCAACAAAUAAAAAACAACAAACAUCAUCCAAAUCUUGACCAAAAAUAUUAGAAUUUAAGGAAACAUCGGAUUUUAAAUAAUGCGAUUGAAACUAAUUGAUACUAUUAUAAACAGUUGCAACAAAUUAUAAAAAAAAUUAAUUUCCAAGAGUAAGUACAAAUAGUUCCCAUGCGACUGAAGAGAAAACAAAAAACUAACAGAUCAAAAUGAUUUUAAAGAAAACAAACGAAGAAGAAGAUAAAAGAUUACCAUCUGAGGCCGAACUUAGCCGGAACGAGAAAAGGAGAAGUUGGCGAUGGUCAAUAGCAUUUGCCCGGACUCCGGUGGCCAUGCAAUGAAUUGAAAUUAGCAUCAACCGAUUGCUCUUCUCAAGAGCAACCGAUUGAUGUCGAUUUGACUACUCAAACUGAUCAAGAUUGGAGAAAAUCAAGAAAUGGAGCAAUUUUAGGCUUUUGGUCAUAUUUAGAUCUACUAAUCGAGCAAUCCUGGGGUUUUGUGGUGGAACUAAUUGCAGGGGGAUAUAGGGAGGUGACAGGGAGUAUAAGGUGAUGACUUGGGGUUAUUUGGUGGUGCUCCUUCGCCGUGAGGCGAUUUUCGGCGGCGGAAAUGGGCGUUUGAUGGCGAGGAGAAGGGAGUGUAUUAGAGACGGGUUUUUGGGGGGAGCGGGUAGCACCGGGUUU
rnacentral:lncRNA from 1 species